UGGCGAUGAUGAAAAAAAGGCCGGACUUACGGCUGCUAACACCACCAAGUGGGUGUGUAGUAGAAUGAUGCUAAAGUUUCCAAAGGUUACUUAGCUGAGCCUC
rfam:Eutrema salsugineum unplaced genomic scaffold scaffold_7, whole genome shotgun sequence.